rnacentral:pre_miRNA from 1 species
AGUGAGGUAACUGGGUCAAAUGGUGGUUCCAUUCCAAGUUUUUUGAGGAAUCUCCAUACUGCUUUCCAUAAUGGUUGCGCCAAUUUUCAGUCCUACCAGCUAU